rnacentral:sRNA from 1 species
UUUUUUGUUUGUUUUUUAAAUUCUUUUCCCUUUUUAUAUGUGGGUUUUAUACAUAA